CCUUUGGGAUUAGAAUGGUUUCUGAACUUCGGCGGUACAGAGAAGAUUAGCAUGGCGCAUGCGCAAGGAUGACACGCAAAUUCGUGAAGCGUUCCAUAUUUUU
rfam:Octopus bimaculoides Scaffold130471_contig_20, whole genome shotgun sequence.